rnacentral:rRNA from 1 species
GAUGAACGCUGGCGGCGUGCCUAAUACAUGCAAGUCGAGCGAACAGACGAGGAGCUUGCUCCUCUGACGUUAGCGGCGGACGGGUGAGUAACACGUGGAUAACCUACCUAUAAGACUGGGAUAACUUCGGGAAACCGGAGCUAAUACCGGAUAAUAUAUUGAACCGCAUGGUUCACUAGUGAAAGACGGUUUUGCUGUCACUUAUAGAUGGAUCCGCGCCGCAUUAGCUAGUUGGUAAGGUAACGGCUUACCAAGGCAACGAUUCGUAGCCCACCUGAGAGGGUGAUCGGCCACACUGGAACUGAGAAACGGUCCAGACUCCUACGGGAGGCAGCAGUAGGGAAUCUUCCGCAAUGGGCGAAAGCCUGACGGAGCAACGCCGCGUGAGUGAUGAAGGUCUUCGGAUCGUAAAACUCUGUUAUUAGGGAAGAACAAAUGUGUAAGUAACUAUGCACGUCUUGACGGUACCUAAUCAGAAAGCCACGGCUAACUACGUG